GGUCAAGCGAACAAGGGCGCAGGGCGAAUGCCUUGGCACUGGGAGCCGAUGAAAGACGUGAUAAGCUGCGAUAAGCUUCGGGGAGCUGCAAAUAAGCAUUGAUCCGGAGAUUUCUGAAUGAGGAAACUCACCUGGGUUCAUACUCAGGUACGUUAUACUGAACUUCAAAAUAGGUAUAUCGAGGGAACCGCCUGAACUGAAACAUCUAAGUAGGGCGAGGAAGAGACAUCAAACGAGAUUCCGUAAGUAGUGGCGAGCGAACGCGGAAGAGGGCAAACCGAGAGUAGAAAUACUUUCGGGGUACGGACUGCUUUUAGGACUUAAUCUGUUAACCGAACGGCAUGGGAAGGCCGGUCAGAGAGUGUGAGAACCACGUAGGUGAAAACGGAGAGAGCUGCGCAGGAUCCAGAGUACGGCCAGACACGUGAAACCUGGUCGGAAUACGGGGGGACCACCCUCCAACCCUAAAUACUACCCAGUGACCGAUAGCGUAUAGUACUGUGAAGGAAAGGUGAAAAGCACCCCGGGAGGGGAGUGAAAAAGAACCUGAAACCCUGUGCCUACAAGCACCUAGAGCGCGUCAAAGCGUGAUAGGGUACUUUUUGUAGAACGGUCCGGCGAGCGAUUGUAUGCAGCAAGGUUAAGGACUUAAGGUCUGGAGCCGAAGCGAAAGCGAGUUUGAAAAGGGCGUUAAGUUGCAUAUAAUGGGCCCGAAACCGGGUGACCUACCCAUGGUCAGGUUGAAGUGGAAGUAAAAUUCCAUGGAGGACCGAACCGACCUCCGUUGAAAAGGCGGCGGAUGAACUGUGGGUAGCGGAGAAAUUCCAAUCGAACCCGGAGAUAGCUGGUUCUCCCCGAAAUAGUUUUAGGACUAGCCUCAAGUUAGAUACCUGGAGGUAAAGCACUGAAUAGCCUAGCGGCCGAGAGGUUAGCGAAGCUUAUCAAACUCAGAAUGCCAGAGUAUUGAUGCUUGGGAGUCAGACAGUGUCAGAUAAAUGUCAUUGUCAAAAGGGAAACAGCCCAGAUCUACAGCUAAGGUCCCAAAGUCAGGUUAAGUGGAAAACGAUGUGAAGAUACGUAGACAACCAGGAUGUUGGCUCAGAAGCAGCCACUCAUUCAAAGAGUGCGUAAUAGCUCACUGGUCGAGCGUCUUUGCGCGGAGAAUUUAACGGGGCUAAACCUGACACCGAAGCUUAGGCAGCAUGUUUACAUGCUGGGUAGGGGAGCGUUGUAUACGCGGUGAAACAGUAGCGCAAGCGGCUGUGGAGUGUAUAGAAGUGAGAAUGCCGGAAUGAGUAGCGCGAAUGCAGUGAGAAUCUGCAUGGCCGAAAGCCUCAGGUUUCUGGAGGAAGGUUCGUCCGCUCCAGGUCAGUCGGGAGCUAAGGUGAGGCCUAACGGCGUAGCCGAUGCACAGACGGUAGAGAUUCCGUCACCACCAAAAGAGUUAAACACAGGGACACAUAUGAAGUCUCGGAGCCGGGUGUUGGUUCCGGUAGCGAUCGAGGGAAAUUAGUACCGAAGUCCGGGAUGGAAGAUGGCGAGAAAAGCUGUGUGUAUUUCUGCGGUGCCCGUACCGCAAACCGACACAGGUAGGUAGGAAGAAGAUUCUAAGGCCAACGGGAGAAGGGUUGUUAAGGAACUCGGCAAAUUGACCCCGUAACUUCGGGAGAAGGGGUGCUGCAGCAAUGCAGCCGCAGAGAAUCGGCCCAAGCAACUGUUUACCAAAAACACAGGUUUGUGCUAAAUCGAAAGAUGACGUAUACGAGCUGACGCCUGCCCGGUGCUGGAAGGUUAAGAGGAGAUGUGCAAGCAUUGAAUCGAAGCCCCAGUGAACGGCGGCCGUAACUAUAACGGUCCUAAGGUAGCGAAAUUCCUUGUCAGGUAAGUUCUGACCCGCAUGAAAGGCGUAAUGAUUUGGGCACUGUCUCAACAGCCCGCCCGGCGAAAUUGUAGUACCGGUGAAGAUGCCGGUUACCCGCGACAAGACGGAAAGACCCCAUGGAGCUUUACUGUAGCCUAAUAUUGGGUUUCGAUGUUGCAUGCACAGGAUAGAUGGGACACUGGGAAGCAGGUGCUUUGGCGCUUGUGGAGUGGCCGUUGGGAUACCAUCCUUGCGAUAUUGGAAUUCUAACCUGCGCCUUUGAAUCAAGGCGGGGGACAUUGUUAGGUGGGCAGUUUGACUGGGGCGGUCGCCUCCUAAAGAGUAACGGAGGCGUUCAAAGGUUCGCUCAGCUUGAACGGAAAUCAAGCAAAAGAGUGCAAACGCAGAAGCGAGCCUAACUGCGAGACUGACGGGUCGAGCAGUAACGAAAGUUGGAGUUAGUGAUCCGGUGGUAUGUGAGUGGAAAUGCCAUCGCUCAACGGAUAAAAGUUACCCUGGGGAUAACAGGCUGAUCUCCCCCAAGAGUCCACAUCGACGGGGAGGUUUGGCACCUCGAUGUCGGCUCAUCGCAUCCUGGGGCUGUAUUCGGUCCCAAGGGUUUGGCUGUUCGCCAAUUAAAGCGGUACGCGAGCUGGGUUCAGAACGUCGUGAGACAGUUCGGUCCCUAUCUGUCGUGGGCGCAGGAUAUUUGAUGGGAGCUGUUCCUAGUACGAGAGGACCGGAGCGGACGUACCUCUGGCGCACCAGUUGUUCUGCCAAGAGCAUAGCUGGGCAACUAUGUACGGAUCGGAUAAACGCUGAAAGCAUCUAAGCGUGAAGCCGACCCAAAGAUAAGAUAUCCCAUUGUUUCAAACAAGUAAGACCCCUUGAAGACUACAAGGUUGAUAGGCACGAUGUGUAAGUGGAGCGAUCCAUUCAGCAAGCGUGUACUAAUAGGUCGAGGGCUUGACCAC
rnacentral:rRNA from 1 species